rnacentral:rRNA from 1 species
GAUGAACGCUGGCGGCGUGCUUAACACAUGCAAGUCGAACGGUGAAGGCGGAGCUUGCUCUGCUGGAUCAGUGGCGAACGGGUGAGUAACACGUGAGCAAUCUGCCCCUGACUCUGGGAUAAGCGCUGGAAACGGCGUCUAAUACUGGAUACGAGCUGCGAAGGCAUCUUCAGCAGCUGGAAAGAACUUCGGUCAGGGAUGAGCUCGCGGCCUAUCAGCUUGUUGGUGAGGUAACGGCUCACCAAGGCGUCGACGGGUAGCCGGCCUGAGAGGGUGACCGGCCACACUGGGACUGAGACACGGCCCAGACUCCUACGGGAGGCAGCAGUGGGGAAUAUUGCACAAUGGGCGAAAGCCUGAUGCAGCAACGCCGCGUGAGGGACGACGGCCUUCGGGUUGCAAACCUCUUUUAGCAGGGAAGAAGCGAAAGUGACGGUAUCUGCAGAAAAAGCGCCGGCUAACUACGUG